rnacentral:rRNA from 1 species
UACGUAGGGCGCGAGCGUUGUCCGGAUUUAUUGGGCGUAAAGAGCUCGUAGGCGGCUUGUUGCGUCGACCGUGAAAACCCGUGGCUCAACUGCGGGCUUGCGGUCGAUACGGGCAGGCUAGAGUUCGGUAGGGGAGACUGGAAUUCCUGGUGUAGCGGUGAAAUGCGCAGAUAUCAGGAGGAACACCGGUGGCGAAGGCGGGUCUCUGGGCCGAUACUGACGCUGAGGAGCGAAAGCUAGGGGAGCAAACAGG